rnacentral:Y_RNA from 1 species
GGCUGGUCCGAAGGUAGUGAGUUAUCUCAAUUGAUUGUUCACAGUCAGUUACAGAUCGAACUCCUCAUUCUACUCUUCCCCUCUUCUCACUACUGCACUUGACUAGUCUAAA